rnacentral:miRNA from 1 species
UGACUAGAACAUUACUUUG